GACGAACGCUGGCGGCGUGCUUAACACAUGCAAGUCGAACGGAAAGGCCCUGCUUGCAGGGUACUCGAGUGGCGAACGGGUGAGUAACACUUGGGUGAUCUGCCCUGCACUUCGGGAUAAGCCUGGGAAACUGGGUCUAAUACCGGAUAGGAGCCAUUUUUAGUGUGAUGGUUGGAAAGUUUUUUCGGUGUAGGAUGAGCUCGCGGCCUAUCAGCUUGUUGGUGGGGUAAUGGCCUACCAAGGCGGCGACGGGUAGCCGGCCUGAGAGGGUGGACGGCCACAUUGGGACUGAGAUACGGCCCAGACUCCUACGGGAGGCAGCAGUGGGGAAUAUUGCACAAUGGGCGCAAGCCUGAUGCAGCGACGCCGCGUGGGGGAUGACGGCCUUCGGGUUGUAAACUCCUUUCGCUAGGGACGAAGCUUUUGUGACGGUACCUAGAGAAGAAGCACCGGCUAACUACGUG
rnacentral:rRNA from 1 species